UUCUCAUGAUUUUAUACCAUCCUGAAAUCCUACUAAAAGAUACGGUAUAUCAGAGGCUGUUUUCUACGCUUUGGUUUAAUAGCUUAUACCCCGAAAUGUGCUAAAUUACCAGAUUUAUUUGGUAAGUAUAAGAACUAUUUACAUGAUUGCGAGGCUAAAGCAUUGACAAUGGUAUGCUAGCCCAGCGGAGUACUACCCUAGAAGUAUUUCAAGCGGUUGCGAUUUCCAAAUGUGUAAUAUCCUGUCUAACGAUCCUUUGGAAACAUGAUUUAGCAUAUACCCACAACAUGGAGCAUAUCCAUCGUAACGUUUGACCUUUGUUAACAGCCGGGAUUAAUUUAUCCGAAUUUUUUUCUAUACCCUAUCUCUUAAACGAUAGGUAUGUUUCUCAUCUCUGUAGCCCUUAACAGAUAUCGUUCAAUUGUCCUACAUAGAUUAAACCAGUUAAACUUGAUUUCCAACCAUUAUACGUUAACACUUUUUUAUAAAAUUUGUCAAGUCAAAUCACAACUGACACCUUCAUGUGGAAAAAUACCAAAAUGAUCUCAGCAAUAAAAGGAUUAAGAAAAACGAGUGUUAAGCUUUAUCGGCUACUUAAUGAUGCCCAGCAUGUUCUUCUUCAUCAGUAGAGCUAUUGUCAUCAUCCUUUAUUUCGGCUGCUUGAAGAUUUGCGAAUUGAUUAUCAAAUUCAUCAUCGACGUUAAAAGCAUCAUUAGCCAGAGAUCCUGAGACAACUUGUUGUACCGGUAACUCGUCGUCGUCGUUAUCCGAUUCGUUCGCUGUAUCAAAAUCAAAGGGUUGACUAACUUCGUUAGAAUUG